GAGGGGAGUGCAGGAUCCUUGGCUAUGUCCCCCAGCGCCCUGGGAUCCAGGGCCUGUGGGGCUGGAAUCGUGCUCCUUGGGCUGGGCAUCCCCCU
rnacentral:pre_miRNA from 1 species